UUUAGCUACAAAGUAACAUUUUACCUUUCAAUGAGGAUGACAGAAACCCUAAAUUACCACCAUCUGCUUUUUCUUCAUUUCAAAAUUCAAUAAUUUUAGUGACAUACUCAGAAAUCCAAGCUUAUUGGGAAUGGAGUCGUUGCAAUUAUUUGAUGACCUGACUGAGGAGCAUUCGCAGAAUACAAGUAGAAGAAGGAAUCGAUUUUCACAGACAGAGUAUCCACAGCAAGGUCUGACUAGAGGAAACAGCCCAUGGAAGAAUAUGCAUUUUCUUGUACCAUAUCUGCCAGACUGCUUUAUUUGAGAAAACAACACAAAACAGGCUCAAAUAAAAUUAAUAAAGAGUCAUAACUUACCUUGUCUACCAGAAUACAGGCAUCAGAAAAAUAUAUAGUAAAACAAUGAGCUGCUUUUAUGUAGGAAAACGUUCCCUUCCUUUACCUUAGAAAUUUAACAGUGAUUUUUAAUUCUGACCCCUAUUAGAAAAAAACUAAAAUACUACGAAGCAUUAGAGCUUGAGAGAUGCAGUCAUUAUCAGAAAGGAGCUGCAUUAUCAUACACCAGAUCUCUCUCAUUUUUAUUAAUGUUAUAAAAUCUGAAAGUUAGAAAAAUUAAGUAUGAUAAAACUCUCUUGCUGAGCUCUUCUAGGACAGACUGAGGAGUGCCUAAGAGGCUUGUCUACAGUAAGACUUACCCUAAGCCAGGGUAAGGAAAUAUUACUUCUUACCAUUUUUCACUAUCUCGUGUCUGGAAACACUUCAAAAAGAAAAAUCAAUCCGUAUGGACAAGGAUGCUCUGAGCUG